CCUACGGGAGGCAGCAGUGGGGAAUUUUGGACAAUGGGCGAAAGCCUGAUCCAGCCAUUCCGCGUGCAGGACGAAGGCCUUCGGGUUGUAAACUGCUUUUGUACGGAACGAAAAGGUUUCAGCUAAUACCUGGGACUCAUGACGGUACCGUAAGAAUAAGCACCGGCUAACUACGUGCCAGCAGCCGCGGUAAUACGUAGGGUGCGAGCGUUAAUCGGAAUUACUGGGCGUAAAGCGUGCGCAGGCGGUCUUGUAAGACAGAUGUGAAAUCCCCGGGCUCAACCUGGGAACUGCAUUUGUGACUGCAAGGCUAGAGUGCGGCAGAGGGGGAUGGAAUUCCGCGUGUAGCAGUGAAAUGCGUAGAUAUGCGGAGGAACACCGAUGGCGAAGGCAAUCCCCUGGGCCUGCACUGACGCUCAUGCACGAAAGCGUGGGGAGCAAACAGGAUUAGAUACCCUGGUAGUCCACGCCCUAAACGGUGUCAACUGGUUGUUGGGUCUUCACUGACUCAGUAACGAAGCUAACGCGUGAAGUUGACCGCCUGGGGAGUACGGCCGCGAAGGUUGAAACGUCAAAGGAAUUGACGG
rnacentral:rRNA from 1 species